CCGCGGUGGCCGGCGGCUUCAGGACUGUGCGCAUCAUUAUGAGUCCCCACAGUCACAGAUGACUCAUACAGCCGGGCCCCCAACUGUGAGCCGCUCCUGCCAUCAGUGGAGAUCCAGGGGAGGGGAAAUAUACCUGCUCUGUUGUGUCCUAUGUGUACACAUAUGGACCCCUUCACUGCCUUCCUAUAGCAGUGUUUCCCAAGCAGUGUGCAUCCAGCUGUUGAAAACCACAGCUCCCAGCAUGCCCAGAUAGCCAAAAGUUGUCUGGAUAUGCUGGGAGUUGUAGUUUUGCUAUAUCUGUAUGCACCUGCUUGGGAAACACUGCCAUACACACAGCGAUCUCAACCUCCAGCUCAGCUCCUCCCCUGCUGGUCAUGUGAUCAUAGACUCAUACGGAGGCCUGCUGGGGUCAGAGGAAGGACCAGAGUGCAGGUGAACAGUGGAUGAUGGCAUGACAGGCAGGUUACAUAGGUAACACUAUAAAUACUGUGCCCUGACCCCUGCCAAUCCUCACCCCAUUAGGAUCAGACUCCGCUGACAAAGUAAUGAACCAAUGCCAUCUGGGCGUCAAGUUCUGCAGAGAGAAGAUUUAGCUGGACCCACUGGCAACAAAGAAGACAAGACAUUUCAAGGAUCAGAGGGAGGAUGGCCAGGAGCAGCCGAAUACAACCAACAAACCAAGAAGAUUGGUUCCUAGCAUGCCUUCAAAAUGCCUAGGACAGGAUAAAGAAAACAUUCAGCAAAGAGAAGUUGAAAGGGGUAAUCCAGGAUGAGAAAAUCAGAGCUGAUUUCUUCUGAAAACUGCACCACCUCUGUCCUAAUGUUGUGUGUGAUAUCGCUGCUCAAUUCUUCAAAAGGGAAUGGAGAAAACUUGUAAUAUUACAUACAACAUGAGGACAGGUAUGGUGCUGUUUUUGGAAACAAAUAGCUCUGUUUUCUAUUCCCUUUUAACAAACUCCUAGGAUGCAGCAACAUUCAUCUGAUGGACGGCACAGGUAGGACACUACAUGUUUUUCUAUACAUUUCUCACUAUUAACACCAGAUUCAUGUAACUAACACAAUCAUUUCAAUGGCCUCAGUGCUGAACUUCUAGACACAUGGGAUAUUUAUCAAAACCUAUGUACAGGAAGAGUAUCAUCUUUCAUCCUUUAGAGA